GCGAUUGUGCAGCAAGUGCGCGGGCAAGGGGUGGAGGUAGCAGUGUUUGGUUUGCCUCAGUGGGCCUUGAACUUGGCAAUCUGUCGGAGUGUCAGCAUAGCUCAGUGAUAGAGCCCCACACGGUGACAUGUCACCUCAAGGGAGGUCGUGGGUUGGAAUCCCACUGCUGACGCCCUAGCUAGGCAAGGAACGUGGUAAGAUGUAGGAGGCAGUAGAUCAAGAGCCAGUUGACCCUAUUUACAUUCUUUGGAAGCACGUAAGUUAACAGUUUACCUUCCCUUGCCACAAAGCCCCUGGGUGGUGUGCGGAGAGGUGCGCUAGAUUGUGCUGUUUGGCUGGUAGCGACAACAUGUUGAGAUACGCAUGCCGUGAUAUUUUAGAUCUGGUGCACGCAGGCUGCCUAAACACUCCUGACGUUGGGACUUUGGGCAAGGAGAGGUGGCCACCCGGUUGGCUCACGAAGACCAAGUUAGGUGUGGACCUAGGCCGGUGUCAGGCCUAUUCAUGCGGACUACCCUCCCCUUAAAGGCGACGCAGCUCAUAUUGGCAGCAAGCUGGGGGCUGUGGCUGGCUCCCGUCCGCACGAGUGAUUGUGUGAGAGUGGAAAUUAGUUACGUAGGUAGGUGUCAGGCCUAUUCAUGCGGACUACCCUCCCCUUAAAGGCGACGCAGCUCAUAUUGGCAGCAAGCUGGGGGUUGUGGCUGGCUCCCGUCCGCACGAGUGAUUGUGUGAGAGUGGAAAUUAGUUACGUAGGUAGGUGUCAGGCCUAUUCAUGCGGACUACCCUCCCCUUAAAGGCGACCCAGCUCAUAUUGGCAGCAAGCUGGGGGUUGUGGCUGGCUCCCGUCCGCACGAGUGAUUGUGUGAGAAUGGAAAUUAGUUACGUAGGUAGGUGUCAGGCCUAUUCAUGCGGACUACCCUCCCCUUAAAGGCGACCCAGCUCAUAUUGGCAGCAAGCUGGGGGUUGUGGCUGGCUCCCGUCCGCACGAGUGAUUGUGUGAGAGUGGAAAUUAGUUACGUAGGUAGGUGUCAGGCCUAUUCAUGCGGACUACCCUCCCCUUAAAGGCGACGCAGCUCAUAUUGGCAGCAAGCUGGGGGUUGUGGCUGGCUCCCGUCCGCACGAGUGAUUGUGUGAGUGGAAGUAAUUAACACAACCGAAUUACCAUCAUGACUCCUUGUAAAGCCUCCGCGUACGCAGCCUCCAUUCAUGGCGGCGGCAUCCUUCCCUCCUCGCACAUCCCCCCUCGCUCAUGUCACCUUGCAUCCUUCACCCAAGCAACCUGAAGAGAAAGCAACGCUAAUGACUUUCCUCCAAAACGCUCCACACAACAACGUGGACAUGUAUGCAACGGUUGACUUUCUCCAGAUUUAUGGAGGGUUAGGCGGUAGUGCGUGGACCCGCUGCGGGGUAAUGAUGGCGUAACUCUACGGGCGGUUUGCGACAAUUCCGGCGGGCCACUGACCGACCCAUUGGCGCUAGAUCUUCCCCCCGGGUGGCCGCUCCGCCCAGCGGAGAAGCACAAUAACAACAGAAGAAGUAACAGUUGGGGCAGCAGUAACCUUAAGGAACAAGGAUAGGCAUAUGUGGGGGGGGGUUGUUACGUCAUGCCCAUCUGAUUUCGUAGUAUUGCGUUAUAUAAGUGUGUGUGUUAUACAUGGUUGGGUGUGUUUGACCCCAUACCUGUAAAACUACCCAUACGGACCGAAGCGUUAUGUACACGCCAAGUAGUCGAAGCCGGUUCAGCAGCAAGCUAGGAGUUGCUUGCCCUCAUGGCACGGUGCGUGCUUUGUCGACCAUUGUGGAUCUACCUGAAUGGCUUUAAAAUCAAACAGAUUGCCUGCCUGCGAGCAGGGAACCUUUUUUACGGUCGGUAACUGUGAAAGGCGGUGCACGACUGGUGUGCGUGCUUCUCAUAACGAAAUAGAAUAGAUCAGCCGAGAGAUUUCCCAGGUGCGGAUAUCGACCUGCUCCGUCAAGAAACGGUCGCUGUGGGGAAUUGG
rnacentral:lncRNA from 1 species